UCUUCAUGCAAAGACAGACAGAUGGUUUUGACCCAUUCUAGAUGUGAGGAAGCUCAGUGUCUUCAUUGGGAAGUGUUGUUUUAUUUAAAUAACCUUUAGUUAAAUGCCCCUCUUUUUCCCCCUGGUUUGGUUUUCUGCAUUUUGUUUAAACAUGCUUGUAUCCACCUCUCUAUCUACCUCCUGGUAUCUCAUUUUUACAGUGCAUUAAUGACACUUUCUAUAAAAGUUUCUUCCAUUUGAUCUAUGUUUCUUUUUCUUUGUCCGUUGACCUGAAGCAGUUUUUCCAAUGUGGUGGCUCAUUUGAAAAGACCAAGACAUUUAUUUCUUCCUCUACAGAUAAUUCACCACCCAAAAUGAUACUGUAUGAAAGAUAUUCAUUAUAUAUGCACCCUCUUUGAAGACUUUUAUAAUACUCAAAGUUGUAUAAAAGUCCCAGGUAUGUUCUAUACAAGAAAUCUCUUUUACAGAGUCAGUUUGUGAUGAUCAAGAAAGCAGAUCCUUACAGAUGUGGUUGACAUUCAAUUACAGAGCAAGUACAUAGAUUAGGUGUGCAUAUUGCACACAUGCGCACUCACACACAAAUGCUAGCCAUCCCAAAAGGUGCACUGUUUUCAUUGACAUGGUGAAUUUCAAAUGCAACUCUUCUCUAGGAGGAAUAUUGUUUAGUUCUCCAGCUAAAUAGAUAACAAUCUCAUCAGGUAUUUCCACUGUCCAUUAGAGCACAUUUUUGGCCCUCUAAAGGUAAACUAAAACAUGCCAGAGGUGUUUUAAAGUACCACAAAAAAUGAUCUAAAACAAUAAAAUCAGCUGAUAACGUGGAUACACAGAUGCUAUUUAGCUAGCUUAAUGGUGAUUUUUGUCAUGUGGAGACAGGAAAAGUAACGUGGAAACGAGAGGUGUCACGUCUACAUGCACCCUAAUAGUUUCAGGGCUCUGGAACCUUUAGGAAAAGGGAGCUUGUAUGCAUAUUUCAGAACUGAAAACCAUAAAUUCAUCCGGCUCUCAAUUCUUUUCUUCGGGGCAGGAGUAAAUCAGGCUGGUGUAGACAACAACAAUGGUAUGCUGUUUCAAAAGACAAGGGCCUCUCAUUCUUGAAAUGUUCAAUGAAGCAGUUGAGCUGUAGGAUUGGUAUAUGCAGCACAUCAGUUCUACUGAAACAGUAAUUUAACUUACUGGUGCUCAAGAACAACUGAAGAACUAGAGAAGCAGAAUAACAAUAAAUCUUACAAAUCCAGAACUCCUCCUGUCGCCAAAACUACCCUGAAUUCAAACCAGGAUGAUGCACUUGAUUCAGAGGAGGAAAACUGCACACAGCAGCAUGAAGCUACAACAGACAGCCCUGUGUUUUCCUCCAUCAGGGUACUCUACACAUGGCCCUUCAGGAGCAGCAACUUCCACAGAACAGCACUUACACUGGUAAGUCCAACCUUGCUG